UUUUUGCUGCUGACAAGUAAAUUUAUGAGAGGUUUAUAUUCUUUUCCACAGUAAAGCUUCCACAGCCAAAAAGUUUGGUUAACCUUGGUUUCAGAUCCCUUCUCUUAUAACAGCAGAUAGCAAAUCAUUUUUAGAAAGGUGGGUGGGGAACAUCUCAAAUGAUAAAGAUGCUUCAAGAAUUCAUCACAAAAGGAACACUUGGAAGAAACUUGGUUUAGAACUGAUCGUAGCUUAGUUCCAGGUUGGUAUUUUCCCACUUAACCCAGAAAUACAUUUCAUUUGAUGAUCACUACUACUUGAACCUCUGGAUGCAAACAAACAUGAAUAUAUACUGAUUCUGAAAAUUGUAACUGUUCUCUAGAGGGGAGGAAUUAAAACCUGAGCCGUUUGGCUAGUUUCCUUUUUCUUGAUGCUACUGCCACUUGCCUCUAGUGCUGCAAACCAUUUCAAAAUACCUGAAAUGACCAAAGCAAGAAAAGACAGCAAAUCAAGUUACUGAAUUGUGGGGGUUUAUUUUUUAGGUUUUGACCUGGUUUUCUAUGUAGUGCAAAACCAGCUCAUUGGCAUGUAUUGAAUUAUACUUGGAAAUUGGACCAUUAAUGGCAUUGCUGUGGCUCUGUUUCAACUGUAUUGCAAUUUCAAAUUCUACACUUUUUUUUAUAUCUAUUUUAAGAUGAGAGACAUAAAAAUGUAAGCGUGUUGAUUAUGGGGGUUUUUAUUAUUAAAGCCCACUGCUUUCAGAACUUGAAAGAAGAGGAUGGUUAUAAUUGAGGUGAUGGCUAAAAGAGUUGAAAAAGGUGGUGGCUUUUUCUAUUUGUCCUUUUGUUUGGUUUUUUUUUUAACUCCUUUUCCUUUUUUUCUCCUUUUCUAAUCCUCCUGCCUUUUUUCUCCUUCAUUUUUUCUCCUCCCUUUAUUCUCCUUUUCUCUUUCUCAAAUCAGAGCAGAUACAAAUGUAUAUUUGACUGUUCAAACAUAAAUCUAUACAUUUUAAAAAUGAUAACUUUCUAAAAGCAUCUUGCUCACUCCACAAUUAAUGUUACAUUUCUUACUGCCAAAGGUCCAAUGUGAUCUUUGCUUUUUUUUUUUUUGAAAGGAUUCCUAAAAUGAUGUUUACACCUUCAAAAUAAAUAUGAUUAUUUCUUCUUCUGUGGGCUUAGGGUUUUUUAAUGUAGUUUUUUGCCUGCAUAGCCAAUCUCAUGGAAAUGAACGACAGAUAUGGUAAACAGAGCAAGAUAAGAUGCCCUUUUUCAUGUAACUUACACUACUAAAUACCUAUGGUACUUUAAAAACAAGCUGGAAUUUGGAAUCUAAGUUCUCCAAAAGGUUACUUUGACGAUACAGUUGUAUUCAGCUGCAUGAUACUUCAAAAAUGCAAGAUGCUUGAUUUUAGCAAACUUCUCACCUGUGAGCAAGGAGCUGGGGCCUUGCUCCUUCCAAGGGGAAGAACACUCUGGCUGUCAUUUGUCGAUUAAAUAAGUGUAUAUGGAGACUUUAAAAUCUGUGACGUAAUUUCAUGUUACACUCUGGGUUGAAGCAGGAGAGAGGUUUAAACAGAAAACCAGGUAUAAAAUGGGAAACACUUCUUAGCUGAUACCACAGUAAUAAAAAGAAAAGAAAA
ensembl:lncRNA